AGAGUUUGAUCAUGGCUCAGAGCGAACGCUGGCGGCAGGCUUAACACAUGCAAGUCGAACGCUCGUAGCAAUACGGGAGUGGCAGACGGGAGAGUAACACGUGGGAACGUGCCCUUCAGUUCGGAACAACCAAGGGAAACUUUGGCUAAUACCGGAUACGUCCGAAAGGAGAAAGAUUUAUCGCUGAAGGAUCGGCCCGCGUCUGAUUAGCUAGUUGGUGAGGUAACGGCCCACCAAGGCUACGAUCAGUAGCUGGUCUGAGAGGAUGACCAGCCACACUGGGACUGAGACACGGCCCAGACUCCUACGGGAGGCAGCAGUAGGGAAUCUUGCGCAAUGGGCGAAAGCCUGACGCAGCCAUGCCGCGUGAAUGAUGAAGGUCUUAGGAUUGUAAACUCCUGUUGCUCGGGACGAAAUGCUUCGACCUAAUACGUCGAAGUUUGACGGUACCGAGUGAGGAAGCCCCGGCUAACUCUGUGCCAGCCGCCGCGGUAAUUC
rnacentral:rRNA from 1 species